GACGAACGCUGGCGGCGUGCUUAACACAUGCAAGUCGAACGGUGAAGCUCCAGCUUGCUGGAGUGGAUCAGUGGCGAACGGGUGAGUAACACGUGAGCAACCUGCCCCUGACUCUGGAAUAAGCGCUGGAAACGGCGUCUAAUACUGGAUACGAUAAUGUUCCGCAUGGGCACUUUCUGGAAAGUUUUUCGGUUGGGGAUGGGCUCGCGGCCUAUCAGCUUGUUGGUGAGGUAAUGGCUCACCAAGGGGACGACGGGUAGCCGGCCUGAGAGGGCUACCGGCCACAAGGGGACUGAGACACGGACCAGAAGCCUACGGGAGGCAGCAGUGGGGAAUAUUGCACAAUGGGCGAAAGCCUGAUGCAGAGACGCCGCGUGAGGGAUGACGGGCUUCGGGUUGUAAACCUAUUUCAGCAGGGAAGAAGCGAAAGUGACGGUACCUGAAGAAGAAGCACCGGCUAACUACGUG
rnacentral:rRNA from 1 species